ACAACUCCCUCCACGAGCUCCAAAACCCUAAACCCCAAAAUCUCCGGAAAAUAAAAUCCAUUUUUCCUCUCUAGAAAUCCAAAGGGAAAUCACCAAAUCAGAAGCUUCGAUGUCCGCCGCCAGAUCCGUUCUCCGCUCCGCCGCAGGCCGAGCAUCUGCCGCUGCUUCCAGAUUCUCCGCCGCUGCGAAGCAUUCGCCGGCGUCGGCGCAGUCCCCGUUCCGUGUACCCAAACGGAGCCCUCUCUCUCACCGCAUUUUCAGAUCUCCAGUGGAGAUGAGCUGCUGCGUGGAGACGAUGAUGCCGUACCACACGGCCACUGCGUCAGCGUUGCUCAAUUCGAUGCUUUCGGUUUCUCGCCGUUCCUGUUGGACCCCCGAAGGGCAAGACGAGACUAGAUGAAGAUCCAUCAACAAGAAUGAUAUUGCAAUGACGAUGUAUGAUGAAUUUCGGGGAGUUCAGAAAUGCAGUCUAAGACAAGGUGAUGGAUGAAUUUCAGGGUGGGUUGGAGCAUUCCAUGCAAUCUUUUGAUGAGGCCGUCAUUUCUGUUAUGUCUGAAAGAAAAAACAAAGAGGUGUGUGUAUCUACUAUCUGCAACCUGCAAAACUCCAAGUGAACGUUUUCAUGGUCGGGCCACAUAACCUUAUAUAUACAUUUGCUCUUUGUGCUCGUUGAUUUUACGCCUUACAAUUUCUCCCCAACAGCAAUAUGUGUUGGAGUCAUCAUCUCUUUGAUUUCACUAUUCGGUUUUCUGCUAAUCGAAAUCAUGGUUGGAUAAUUACGGGGUUAUCCGUCCGAAUUUAAAAAGUCAGAUGUUCCAUAUCGUUCCAA